GCAGGAGCUCCUUCUGCAGGCCCGGAGAAGUCGCACACUUUUAAUGGGGUAGUUUUGGAAAAUGUUUUAAAAGGUGGGGGCCGAGGACGGAGGACCGGAUGAAACUCCCUGGAGUAAGAGACGUGGAAGUGGAGAGAGCAAGGCGACCGCAGCCACCCCAACCCUGGGCUGCUCCCGCCGUUGGGGAGAAAGAGGCAAGGCAAGGAAGAGCCCACCUAGACUUCCGAGGACCGCAGAGACGGGGCGGCGGCAGGAACUUGCUCACCCCGACCUACAUUCAGAAUAGUCCACCUUAUAUUGGGGAACCCUCCAAGCAGGACGUUUCAUGCAGCCACCCCACAGGGGAAAACAGACCAGGAGAAAGUAAGGUGGCCUCACCAAGUAGGCAAUCUCAGAGAUCUCUCCCUAGAAUCUCUGGGUACUGGACCCGGUGUCUUAGCCUUCUCUCCCUGCCCCCUCCCGCCCCGUAGGAAUGAUAAAAAGCAGCCUGUGUGCUGAGAGUUGGAAAAUGUCGUUUUCCCGGUUUGUUCCAUGCCACAGAAUCGCCCCACCCUGCCUGGGUAGGCACUGGGAGGGAACUUCCUUAGCACUUUCGGAGGUGGAGUUAAUGAGACGCAGCUGGUAUGAUGGAAAAAGCUCGGAGCCAGGCGACUGAACCUGGG
rnacentral:lncRNA from 1 species